GUAGGUGGCAAGCGUUGUCCGGAAUUAUUGGGCGUAAAGCGCGCGCAGGGCGGUCCUUUAAGUCUGAUGUGAAAGCCCACGGCCCAACCGUGGAGGGUCAUUGGAAACUGGGGGACUUGAGUACAGAAGAGGAAAGCGGAACUCCAAGUGUAGCGGUGAAAUGCGUAGAGAUUUGGAGGAACACCAGUGGCGAAGGCGGCUUUCUGGUCUGUAACUGACGCUGAGGCGCGAAAGCGUGGGGAGCAAACAGGAUUAGAUACCCUGGUAGUCCACGCCGUAAACGAUGAGUGCUAAGUGUUAGGGGGUUUCCGCCCCUUAGUGCUGCAGCUAACGCAUUAAGCACUCCGCCUGGGGAGUACGGCCGCAAAGGCUG
rnacentral:rRNA from 1 species